rnacentral:rRNA from 1 species
GCUGGUUCUCCGCGAAAUCUAUUUAGGUAGAGCGUCGAUCGAAUACUCUUGGGGGUAGAGCACUGACUGGGCUAGGGGUCCUCACCGGAUUACCAAACCUUAUCAAACUCCGAAUACCAAGAAGUACUAAUCGGCAGACACACGGCGGGUGCUAACGUCCGUCGUGGAGAGGGAAACAACCCUGACCACCAAUUAAGGUCCCCAAAUAAUGGCUAAGUGUGAAAGGAUGUGGGAUUGCUUUGACAAUGAGGAGGUUGGCUUAGAAGCAGCCACCCUUUAAAGAAAGCGUAAUAGCUCACUGAUCGAGUCGUCCUGCGCGGAAGAUGUAACGGGGCUAAGCCAGUCACCGAAGCUGCGGAUAUCCUUUAUUGGAUAUGGUAGGAGAGCGUUCUGUAAGCCUGUGAAGGUGAGUUGAGAAGCUUGCUGGAGGUAUCAGAAGUGCGAAUGCUGACAUGAGUAGCGUUAAAGGGGGUGAAAAGCCCCCUCGCCGAAAGCGCAAGGUUUCCUACGCAACGUUCAUCGGCGUAGGGUGAGUCGGCCCCUAAGGCGAGGCAGAGAUGCGUAGCUGAUGGGAAGCAGGUUAAUAUUCCUGCACCGUCGUAUGAUGCGAUGGGGGGACGGAUCGCGGAAGGUUGUCUG